CCCAUUAUAUGUAACCUCUUGGAAAUAUGAAAAAAUCACAUGUGCGUAUGCUGAUUUUCAGGCCAGCUACGUCUCUGACUCAUGACUCGAAACAAUGCAGAUCAUCGGAUUUACUGCAGUCUUCAGUUCAAGGUGUGCUGGUGAAUCGAAGUAUGAUUUUUCAAAAGGAGCCACUGGCAGGGAUGUGUCAAAGAAAGGAAGACCUGAAUGCAUUACUGGUGUUUUAAGAGCUUCAUCAGAAACCUCCACCACAAGAGGAAUUGCUGCAACUGUAGAUAUAGUAUAUUCACAUGUCUCCAUACAGACUUGACCGGUUAUGAUUCCAUGAAGAUUUUAUGACAAGACUGUAGGAAACCUGUUUACUGACAGUGCCAGAGUGGUUAUUGUUGAAGAAUAGUAAAGUACAGUUGACAUAAGACACUGUGACAUACUAUACAGAAAGUGGUACUGGUGGCUAGAAUUUUGGAUGGGAGUGAAAACAACACAUUUGUUACUUUGGCUUCACAGUUUUUAUUUGUUUCAAGAAGAGCAAUGUCAUUUACAGGUGAAUUCCAUUGGGUUUACACAUGUUCAUGUGAUGUAGCUGGAACUGAAUUGAGUGCCGUGGAGAGCAAAUUUUGUGGACCCAGUUUUGAAUUGAAAAGCUGUCCACAGUUUACAACAUUGAAUUCCCAAGUGGUUGAUCAGUCAAAUUUAAGAUUACAAGGAAGGGGAGCGGUGGUGUAGUGGAUAAGGUGUUGGCCGCUCAAUCCAGGGGUUGUGGGUUUGAGCUGCACUGAGGUCACGACAUGACUUCUCAUAUGACACCAGUACUAGUUUUUACAGGAAGCGGACUUGAGAGUGAUUCCAAUAAGCUUGAAGCUUUCAUCACAAUCAAGCAAAAACAAAUUAGUUUAAACUAAUUAAAGGCUCACUAUCAUACAUGCAAACUUUAUUUCACAAUGUAAAAGAGGCAAGAAUGAUGUUAUUCUCUCAAAGCUUUGAUUUCAGCUAUUUCAGUUUGAAUUAUAUACGUGUGCAUAAUUAUAUAUACUCCAGGUUCUUUUCAUUCUUAAGGGACUUUACACAUGUGUUUGAUAUUGGGUCAUCUGGGGUCAAAAACUAGGUCACCAGGUCAAAUCAAAGGAAAAGCUUGUUAACACUCUAGAGGUCACAUUUAUGACUGUAUCUUCAUGAAACUUGGUCAGAAUGUUAAUCUUAAUGAUCUCAAUGUCCAGUUUAUCACAAUUUUGGCCCAAUCUUAAUGAAAAUUGGUCAGAAUGUUACCCUCAAUAAAAUCUUGGACGAGUUUGAUAUUGGGUCAACUAGUCAAAAACUAGGUCACCAGGACAAAUCAAAGGAAAAGCAUGUUAACACUGUAGAGGCCACAUUUAUGACUGUAUCUUCAUGAAACUUGGUCAGAAUGUUAAUCUUAAUGAUCUAAAUGUCCAGUUUGAAUCUAGGUCAUGUAGAAUCAAAAACUAGGUCACCAGGUCAAAUCAAAGGAAAAGCUAGUUAACACUGUAGAUGCCACAUUUAUGACCAUAUCUUAAUGAAACUUGGUCUGUACAUUAAUCUUAAACAGUUAAACAGUUUCCUGCUGAUAACUUGAGAACGCUUAUGUCUAGGAUCAUAAUUUUUGUACACAGGUGUAACAUUAUAAAAUACAGGUCAAGUUCGACUUUAAGGUUACAGUGACCCGGAAAAUUAAAACGGUUUCGGACAAUAACUUUAGAACGCUUUGGACUAGGAUCAUGAAACUUACUAGGGAGAUUAGUCAUGACCAGCAGAUGACCCCUAUGGAUUUUGAGUUCCAAAGGUCAAAGGUCAGAGUGAUCUGGAACAUUAAACAUUUUCUGGACAUUUACUUGGGCCGAGGAUCAUGAAACUUCAUAGGGAGGUUGAUCAUGACCUGUAUUGAUUUUUAGGUCAGUAGGUUAAAGGUCAAGCAAGUUCAGCUUUGGCAUUGGCUUAGUUCUGUGACAAGGCCAUGUUUGGGGGUAUAAAUCGCCACUCUUGUGACAACUCUAGAUCAACUUUUAUGAAAUUUGUAUUUAUAUAUAUUUAUAUGAAAACACCACAAUGAAUAAAAUAGAAUAUAUACUAAACAAAAUAAAAUAACUUA